UCUGCAUAAAAGCAGGCUUGUUUUUUUUCCUCUCCACUUCCUCUCCCUGGAAAUAAUAUUCUCUAAAUCUUUUGGAAUUAAACCAGCCAAAUAGAGUAUAACAUGUUUCUUAAUCAUUUGGGCCACAUUCUACUUUCUGAAUGGGUGUUGGUUUCAGUGGGAAUGUUUUCUGUGGGUGGGAAUGUUUUCUGUGGCUGUGGAUCAUUGAGAAGAUGGUGCUGAUUUGCUCUGGUAAGCUGAAGGAAUAACCAAGCAUGUGGCAUGAAGUGAAAUAAGGACAAAUGCAAGAGACACCCUGGAAACAGGCAACUGGGGACAAAGAAAAUCUGUGGGGAAAGGGUGGUGAACCAGGUGCCCACCUGCCAGCAUUAUUGCUGAGGCACGUCUCAGCCAGUAGGAGGGAGGUGCAUGCACGGAAGAGUGACUGAGAGAAGAAGCAAGACUGUAAUCUUGGACUUCUAACUUCCACAACUGUGAGAAAACAAAUUUCUGUUACUUAAGCAACGUGGCUGUGGUGUUUUGUUAUGCCAGCCUU
rnacentral:lncRNA from 1 species